rnacentral:rRNA from 1 species
UGGGGAAUAUUGGACAAUGGGCGAAAGCCUGAUCCAGCCAUGCCGCAUGUGUGAAGAAGGUCUUCGGAUUGUAAAGCACUUUAAGUUGGGAGGAAGGGCAUUAACCUAAUACGUUAGUGUUUUGACGUUACCGACAGAAUAAGCACCGGCUAACUCUGUGCCAGCAGCCGCGGUAAUACAGAGGGUGCAAGCGUUAAUCGGAAUUACUGGGCGUAAAGCGCGCGUAGGUGGUUUGUUAAGUUGGAUGUGAAAUCCCCGGGCUCAACCUGGGAACUGCAUUCAAAACUGACUGACUAGAGUAUGGUAGAGGGUGGUGGAAUUUCCUGUGUAGCGGUGAAAUGCGUAGAUAUAGGAAGGAACACCAGUGGCGAAGGCGACCACCCGGACUAAUACUGACACUGAGGUGCGAAAGCGUGGGGAGCAAACA